GACGAACCGAGCGACCGUUGUUCGGAAUCACUGGGCUUAAAGGGCGCGUAGGCGGGUGCUCAAGUCCGGGGUGAAAUCCUCCAGCUCAACUGGAGAACUGCCUCGGAUACUGGGUGCCUCGAGGGUGGUAGGGGUAUGCGGAACUAUCGGUGGAGCGGUGAAAUGCGUUGAUAUCGAUAGGAACUCCGGUGGCGAAGGCGGCAUACUGGACCACUUCUGACGCUGAGGCGCGAAAGCCAGGGGAGCAAACGGG
rnacentral:rRNA from 1 species